AGAGAGAGAGAGAGAGAGAGAGAGAGAAAGAUUGUCCAUAAUAGCUUGAGAACUCUUGAGAAAGAAUUCAACUACAAAUCUACCAAGGUGAGUAAUGAAUUAGGAUUGAUUUUAGGUUAUUGAUAAUGGCAAGUAAUUGGAGUUGUGAGUUUUUUUAUUUUUUUUAGGUUUGUUUAUUUAUUUCUAGUGGUACUAGAGUAGGGAGAAUAGAUAGCCAGCCAAAUGGUAAUUGGAAGUUAGUUAGGAAUAACCAGUAAAUUUUGAAUUAGAAAAUAGCUUUUGGAGUAACAUUUAUGUAAAUUGAGUUGGUUGUGAUAUUAUUGUUGUGAUAGGUUCCAACGAGGCCCCACAUCUUCACUCGGAGCAUUAGUCGAAGUUGGAGUCUAUCCAAAAGCAGUAACAAAAACAAGUGAGUGAACUUGCAUUAAAAUGUUCUGGGUACAUGUAUAUAUUUUUGAAUGAUCACUUGAAAUAUUUUAGUUGAUUUUUCUUCAAAAUGCACAUGGGAACAAGCUCUUGAUGAAAUGUUUUUUUUAUGUUGUGUUGUGAAAUGUGACUGUGAUGAAUCCAUGUACUCAUUUAUUAUGUUGAUAAAAACUUAUAUGUGUUGUGCGUUGAGAGGUGAUAUUGUGUAAUAAAUAUAGCCGUGCAUGUGCGCGACGUGGGGGAGCACAUGCCAGUGAUGACGAGUGCAGGAGUGUGGAUGAUGAUAAUGCCUGUGCGGGAUGUGGGGGAUGCACAUGAUGACUCCGGCUAUGUGUAGUGUGGGAGUGCACAUGAGCUGGGUGAGGCGGUGAUGGUGUAUAUGCUUAUAUAUAUAUUUACUAAAUAGAGAGGUUUGGAAUCAAUAUGUGAUUGCAUUUACUGUUGAAACUCUAUUAUUGUCAAAUGUGUUUAAGUUGAUUUUCGUUGCAACAGGAUUGGAUUUAUAUAGCAGUGAAAAUUUCCCCUAACAUCAGC
rnacentral:lncRNA from 1 species